GACGAACGCUGGCGGCGUGCCUAAUACAUGCAAGUAGAACGCUGAAGGAGGAGCUUGCUUCUCUGGAUGAGUUGCGAACGGGUGAGUAACGCGUAGGUAACCUGCCUGGUAGCGGGGGAUAACUAUUGGAAACGAUAGCUAAUACCGCAUAAUAGUAGAUGUUGCAUGACAUUUGCUUAAAAGGUGCAAUUGCAUCACUACCAGAUGGACCUGCGUUGUAUUAGCUAGUUGGUGGGGUAACGGCUCACCAAGGCGACGAUACAUAGCCGACCUGAGAGGGUGAUCGGCCACACUGGGACUGAGACACGGCCCAGACUCCUACGGGAGGCAGCAGUAGGGAAUCUUCGGCAAUGGACGGAAGUCUGACCGAGCAACGCCGCGUGAGUGAAGAAGGUUUUCGGAUCGUAAAGCUCUGUUGUAAGAGAAGAACGAGUGUGAGAGUGGAAAGUACACACUGUGACGGUAUCUUACCAGAAAGGGACGGCUAACUACGUG
rnacentral:rRNA from 1 species